UCGGCUCUCCCCCUGGCUGAAAAAUGUCAUCAUUGUCAGCGUGGACAAACUACCCACGACCAGGUGAAGGGUGAGGGUGUCUGUUGCAAGCGAGCAGCGCAAGGAAGAUGUCCAUGGUGAUAAAAAGCAUUAUUCAGUUCGUGCCCCGAUCCAGCGCAUUCGAGGGCUCCAUCACCAAGGAAAGGCCACCAAGUUCAUGCGACCCCUUUGGCUUCUUGUGGGGUCUGAUUGAAAUAAUCCCUGGUGAAAUACAAAUUAAUAGGUAGGGUAGAAAAUAAAACGUAAAAGGUGGUGCGAUGUUCUCAACAAAGAGCCGAAACAGGUGUUGCAACGCGUGCCAAAUUGAACAUAAAACCGCGUACAGUAAAUGUGCCGCUGUGUAUCAAUGAAAUCCGCCCAAAUCUCAAUUCAGUCUAACAUCAACAGUAAUUCUUACACUGACUAAAGUCCGUAACGGAAUCUUUGAGAAUACACAAAUGUACCUCAAAGUUUGUACAAAUAAACAAACCAUUAAUUUGCUAAUUGUUUACAAUCUUAUUCUAAAGCAGAACCUACAAGGUAAAUCAAGAAAUUAACAUAACUUUAAAGCACUACGCGUGUUUUCUAACGGACUUUAAAAAAGGAGGUCCUGAAAUUAGACUGUAUUUUUUGUAGUCCCAUUCAAAUUUGCAGAAAAUAUUCCACCUUCAAGAGUGGCAAAAUAAGGGAUAAAUCACUUUCUGUUAACCGAUUUCAACAAAAGUUGGCAAAUAGAUGUAAUUCCACAAACUUUUGACGUCGGUUCUUUUUUUAAUAAAAACUAUUUUAAACGGAGCUGUUAAACCACAAACUUCUCUCUGCGUAACCAGAAGAGAAACAAAAUUGUAAAUAAAUUAAUAAAUUGUACAGUAUUCACAACAAUAAAUUGUAGUUUUCACAGCAAUCAAUUGCAGUUUUCACCGUAAAAAGAACGUCGUUUGCAAAGCCCGUUAAUUGUUUAUGUUACGUAUGUUUUCAUAGAUUAGUGCAAUGCAAUCAAACAGCUUUGUUCGAAGUUAUUUACACAACCUGUCUUAUUGUUCGAAAUUCCAAAGAUGACGUAAAACAGACCAAGUAUUCGAACUUCAUUCUCCUUGGUCUGCAUUUGUUGAUUUAACUCUUAAUAUUAUUCCAAUCCAAUGUAACAUAAAUUGUGAAAUUUUUGAUUUACCUUGUUUUUAAAACCGAUAUCCAAAAUAUCGAUUUUAAAUAGGGUUAUAUGUAAAAUACUAGCAACAACCUUUGUACCUUGACAUUUUACAAAACAAAUAUUUACCAAAAAUAAUUAAGUUUUUGUUGUACUAUCUGACACUUUCUGUAUAUGUAUUUUAGCAACGCCUCCCGUCCGUCAUUCAUGAAAAUAAUUUUGCUCGUAGGUGCUUUCUUUCGCUACUGCACAGAGUUAUCACCAUUUAGAGCGAUCUAGCGAAUAUAUUUAUUUUUGUACGAAAGGUAAAACCUGAUGGGUUAUUAAGUGAUAAUAUAGUCUUGGAAGGUCAUUGGUAUUUUACAAAUGACCCUGUAUAGAAUUGUAACUUGCGUGACACUGUUCGGUAUUGCUGUAAUUUGUGACAAAAAAAAAGAAAUUGUAUUGAGUUGUUCAAUUAAUAAUACUGUAGGUCGGUUAUUUAAUAACAUUAAACGUUAUUAUUUUAUGAUAUACAUGGUUUUGAAUGUCACGCAAUUUACUAAGUUUCUCUAUCUGUUAAUAUAGCAGCUAUAACUAAGCUCAAAGUUCACUGGAUUUUAAUAAAUAAAACAAACAAUUGUGAUGUGUAUGACAAAAUUCGUUGCCAAUUAUCUAUAACAUAACUAGGAUUUUGUUUUACUGUCCUAACGUUAGUAUUGGCGUAAAAAGACAUAAUAAAUAACUAUUUCUAUGUAACAAACAAUACCUCGGUGUUUUCAUUAUGCCGAAUCAAGCCAUAAUUAAAACAAUAAAUCUCAAAAAGUAUUA